UACAGAGGGUGCAAGCGUUGUCCGGAUUUAUUGGGUUUAAAGGGUGCGUAGGCGGCUUUUUAAGUCAGUGGUGAAAUCCAACAGCUCAACUGUUGAACUGCCAUUGAUACUGGAGAGCUUGAGUACAGACGAGGUAGGCGGAAUUUAUGGUGUAGCGGUGAAAUGCAUAGAUACCAUAAAGAACACCGAUUGCGAAGGCAGCUUACUAGGCUGUAACUGACGCUGAGGCACGAAAGUGUGGGGAUCAAACAGG
rnacentral:rRNA from 1 species